UACAGAGGUCCCGAGCGUUGUUCGGAUUCAUUGGGCGUAAAGGGUGCGUAGGCGGCGGGGCAAGUCUGAUGUGAAAUCCCGGGGCUCAACCCCGGAACUGCAUUGGAUACUGCCUUGCUCGAGUACUGGAGAGGGAACUGGAAUUUACGGUGUAGCGGUGAAAUGCGUAGAUAUCGUAAGGAAGACCAGUGGCGAAGGCGGGUCUCUGGACAGUUCCUGACGCUGAGGCACGAAGGUCAGGGGAGCAAACGGG
rnacentral:rRNA from 1 species